rnacentral:piRNA from 1 species
GACUCUUCAACACCAGUGAACUCGUCAA